GGCUCAGAUUGAACGCUAGCGGGAUGCCUUACACAUGCAAGUCGAACGGCAGCACGGACUUCGGUCUGGUGGCGAGUGGCGAACGGGUGAGUAAUGUAUCGGAACGUGCCUAGUAGCGGGGGAUAACUACGCGAAAGCGUAGCUAAUACCGCAUACGCCCUACGGGGGAAAGCAGGGGAUCGCAAGACCUUGCACUAUUAGAGCGGCCGAUAUCGGAUUAGCUAGUUGGUGGGGUAACGGCUCACCAAGGCGACGAUCCGUAGCUGGUUUGAGAGGACGACCAGCCACACUGGGACUGAGACACGGCCCAGACUCCUACGGGAGGCAGCAGUGGGGAAUUUUGGACAAUGGGGGAAACCCUGAUCCAGCCAUCCCGCGUGUGCGAUGAAGGCCUUCGGGUUGUAAAGCACUUUUGGCAGGAAAGAAACGUCAUGGGUUAAUACCCCGUGAAACUGACGGUACCUGCAGAAUAAGCACCGGCUAACUACGUGCCAGCAGCCGCGGUAAUACGUAGGGUGCAAGCGUUAAUCGGAAUUACUGGGCGUAAAGCGUGCGCAGGCGGUUCGGAAAGAAAGAUGUGAAAUCCCAGAGCUUAACUUUGGAACUGCAUUUUUAACUACCGAGCUAGAGUGUGUCAGAGGGAGGUGGAAAUUCCGCGUGUAGCAGUGAAAUGCGUAGAUAUGCGGAGGAACACCCGAUGGCGAAGGCAGCCUCC
rnacentral:rRNA from 1 species